UAAUUGGUUUUGCUGGGUUUUUGUUCGGGUUUAUUGCGAUUUCGAGGAGGGGUUUUGGUGACAGCUGUAAAUAUGCUGAACCCAGAUCUGUUUCAGUUGCUUGGGAUAGGAAUGUGAUGAGUAGGGAAGAAAAUGGGAUUGGGGUUACUGGUGGAGGGUAUAAGAGGCAUAAAGUGAUGGGUUUUGUUGGAAUUCAGACUGGGUUUGGAUCGGUUGCUCGCCGGAGAUCGUUGCGCCGGACUUGGUUUCCAUCUGAUCACAAUGGGCUUCAAAAGUUAGAAGAAGCCACUGGCUUGGCUUUUAGAUUUGUUAUUGGCAGAACAAGUGAUAAAUCCAAGAUGUCAGCACUUAAGAAAGAGGUAGCAGAAUAUGAUGAUUUUGUACUAUUGGACAUUGAAGAAGAGUACAGUAAGCUCCCAUACAAAACAUUAGCCUUUUUCAAGGCGGCCUAUGCACUUUAUGAUUCCGAGUUCUAUGUUAAAGCUGAUGAUGACAUAUAUUUACGGCCAGAUCGCCUUUCAUUACUCUUGGCCAAAGAGCGGUCUCACUCACAAACAUACCUUGGAUGUAUGAAAAAGGGUCCAGUUUUCACUGACCCCAAGCUCAAAUGGUAUGAACCACUUUCAUCUAUUCUGGGGAAGGAGUAUUUUCUGCAUGCUUAUGGUCCUAUUUAUGCUCUUUCUGCUGAUGUUGUUGCAAGUUUGGUUGCCCUGAGGAACAACAGUUUCCGAAUGUUUAGCAAUGAGGAUGUUACCAUUGGAGCCUGGAUGCUUGCAAUGAAUGUCGAUCAUGAGAAUAAUAAGC
rnacentral:misc_RNA from 1 species